rnacentral:lncRNA from 1 species
AAACAUACAUAUGCAUGAAGACAAUUAAAAUAAAAGCAAAGAGAGAAGAAAAAAAGAGACACCAAUAAUAGAAUUGCACAUAGAGAACACCCAAGAAAAUCAACUGAAAAAGAUAUCACCAAGGUGGCCUCAAGAAUUGAUAGGAUUCCAGCCACAAGUGAAGGCCUUACUCAGGGAAGUCACAACGGGUUGCUCGUCCAUACAGGAUCAAGGACAGGUUGGCCUGUUGGCCAGACGCCCAGCGCAAACAGCUCAGCCCAGUGAGGGAGAGUCAUUAGAAGAAGAAAUGGAAGCUCAAAGAAGGUCA